UCACCAGGCGCGAAUUUUUCUCAAUGGGGGAAACCCUGAAGGAGCGACGCCGCGUGGAGGAUGAAGGUCUUCGGAUUGUAAACUCCUGUCAUUUGGGAACAAGUUGCAUCGGUUAACUGCCGAUGCAUUGAUAGUACCAGAAGAGGAAGAGACGGCUAACUCUGUGCCAGCAGCCGCGGUAAUACAGAGGUCUCAAGCGUUGUUCGGAUUCAUUGGGCGUAAAGGGUGCGUAGGUGGCGGGGUAAGGUCUGGUGUGAAAUCUCGGGGCGUCAACCCCGAAACCUAGCACUGGAUACUGCCUUGCUCGAGUACUGGAGAGGAGAUUGGAAUUUACGGUGUAGCAGUG
rnacentral:rRNA from 1 species